rnacentral:lncRNA from 1 species
CCCCAAGCAGUGACAAAUGUACAUGUGGAAGAACACCAGCGUGAAAUCAAGACGGUAAGAGCAUCAUGGUCUUGUUGGAUACGAAGAUCCCUGCAUAGCUGAAUGCAACGCAGAAUGUCGGCCCUCUUCAGUAUAUCCACAUAAUUAGAAUUUGCGAGAACCUCGUCGGUCCAAUGUUGCCACCCCUGAAGACGAUUGGAUGAGUCGGGUAUGAAAAGAAUGGGACUGUAGGGGUACUCCUGUUUUUCUAUACACAUACGGGGAAUGCGAGCAGAACAGGGAAAGCUGUCUAAGCUUGCGCAAGCCGUAACAUAUAAAAAUAAACCUGCUUUCUCAGGAGGAGGAAAGGCUGUACGACCAUAAUUCUUCCCUUGCUCCCAGAAAACGUCAGAAGACCCAUAAAAGGGAGCCUUUCCCCAGUCGCUGAUGAAAGGAACUUCCUUAGUAGUUUUCGGGUCUGUGGAACGUUCACUGGAAUUGGCCUGCAACAAGAAAACUUAACAUGAGAAUUCUGGAAACAAGGAAAGAAAGUGAAUGAGCAUUUGAAAUUAAGUGCUUACCAUAACAAGAGAGAAGGUAUGAAACUUAAAUAAGAAGAUUGGAUUCGGGAAAGAAGGAUCACGGACACCUGAAAGAAGAAAAAGAGCACAAGCAUUAGGAACCAUUCAAAUAAAAAUAGGGUAAAGGAAAAAUGAGAAAAUGUGAAAGAGGAGGCCAUUAGGUCGGUUCCCCUAAGGGUUGGCCCGUAGGGUUUAGCCACCUAAGGAGCUCUUCCCUCUUACAUUUAACUUCUCCUUACUCGUUGAAUCAACUGAUUGGAAUAAAUGCUACUUUACCGGAAUAUCCAAGCUGGCUCGGAAUAAAUUCUUCCUCCUUGCGGUGUCGUCUUUUCUUUCAGAAUAUCCGAGCCAAGGACUUUGUUAAGGUGAAAUGGCUCGGAAUAAAUUCUUCCUCCUUGCAGUGUUGUCCUUUCUUUCAGAAUAUCUGAGCCAAGGACCUUAUUAAUGUGAAAUGGCUCGGAAUUAAUUUUUCCUCCUUGCGGUGUUGUCUUUUCUUUCAGAAUAUCCGAGCCAAGGACCUUGUUAAGGUGAAAUGACUCGGAAUAAAUCCUUCCUCCGUGCGGUGUCGCUUUCUCUUUGAAAAUAUCCGAGCCAAGAUCCUGUUAAGGUGAAAUGGCCCGGAAAAGAAAAAACUGCAAUCACCUGAAAAGAGAAAUCGAUGAAACAAUCAAAAUAAAUAAAAUAAAUUAAUCAAUUCGAAAAAAUUCAGUGGCGUGAAUCCGAAAGAUCAAUAUGCAAGGAAUUGCUUUCAUGUCUUGUUGCAAUUCUAUUUGCAUAGCUUUCAUGUCCUGUUGCAUCCGUUUCAAAUUGUGCAAAUUGUGCACAAAAUUAUCAUAUAAAAAAAAAAAUUCCGCUCCGAUUUUAAAAUAUCUGUAGAAGCUCCUUGUUUUUUUUUGUUCUAUUUAUUCAGGCACAGCGGUGGACCCUUCCAACCGCGUUAGGAGCAAAAAUUAUCACGGCUCUGCCUAAUAAUUGCAUCGGCCGGGAACAUCAAAUAUAUCAAGAAAAGUUCAAAGCAAAGCAUUACUUUUGUCAGAAUAUUCAGACACAAAAUUCAAAAUAAUAGUAAUAAUAUAAAAUAAAUAAAAAAUCAAAUCAAAUCAAACUCAUACUGCAGUGUUCUAG